UGUAACUGUAAUCAGUAAUAACAUUAGAUAUAAGUUAGGAUAGGAUAGAAGUUAUUAUGUAUUGAAGUUUCAUUUGUGUUUACCUCGAUUUUAUUUUGAAAGUGGGCUUAUUUUGAAGGCGCUUUAAGAAGCCCGAGGGAAAACGAAACUUAGGCAGAAGCGAAGAUGUAACUAUUGAUGUUAGACAUAAGACUUGGUUGAUAUUGAAGUAUCUUAUUGUCAUGUUUCACGCCAUCUGUCACAUCCGGUUUUAUUUUGUUAACUUCCUGUUCACCCAGUCGUCACUCUCCGGUUCCCAGUAUCCACACCUGUUACCAAUCAGUAAUCAGUACCAGUAUAUAGUCUCACCACUCACAGACCCCAGUUGCCAGAUCGUUGAUUCCUGACUCUCACGUUCCCGCAGUUCCUAGUUCUGGGUACACUGGCAUUGACCAAGUUCCGUACUUCUGACCAUCGUUCUCGCCUGAUCCUUACCGACCCUGUAAGUCUUCGCUCCGUUAUUGACCACUGCCUGUUUUAUGACCUGUCUAAGCCUGCCGAUUUGGAUUCUGAGACCUGAGCCUUUUCCCGUAUUGACACCUGCCUGUUACCGGACCCGAGUAAGCUAUUUUCCUUGUGUGCUGAAAGACUGUUAACCUGUGUAUGAUCUGGACUUCCUUGUGACUUCGUUUCUGGAAUAAACCCACCUUUUUUCACCAUCUGCAUCGUGUCCUGGCGCUGUGCAUUUGGGUCCUUUAUAUGCCGUUCGUGACAGAACGAUCUGGCCAGCCUUGGACCCAGCCAGCGCCAACCUGCACCCAGGUCUGUUACGAGUUUUGUUCCCGUAUUUUCCUUUUUUUUUUCUCCGUUUGUUUGGCUCUGUGCGCAAGUCACUCGCCGGAGCAAUGGAGUUUUCAUGCCCGAGUCUGCCGGUGGAUAUUCGCGGAGACCUAGAGAGGUUCGCUAAGGCAUACGCGGAAGCGCACAGCCUUGAGGACAGUCUCCGCCACGUAAAGCAGGGCAUCGAAUUGCUGACGGCUGAGUUUUGGUGGCGUGCGUAUCCCGGAGUGCAGAUGUACUACGAGAGACUUCAUUCGCUGCAGAGGGAAUUGGCGUGCGCGCUGCACGCAUCGUCCGCCUGUGUCUCCGCAGCUGCUCCUACCGCUGUUUCAUCGCUUUACGUUCCCGUUCCUGUUCCUGUCGCCGCUCCGGUCGCCGCUCCGGCGGUUCGCGUUUCCAGCUCAGCCUCCAACCCAGUCGUGCUCUGUUCAGUCCCAGUCCAGCCGCGCGCUGUUCAGUCUCCAGUCCAGAAGCGCGCUGUUCAUGCUCCAGUCCAGUCGAGCCCUGUUCAGUCUCCCGUCCAGUCGAGCCCUGUUCAGUCUCCAGUCCAGUCGAGCCCAGUUCAGUCUCCAGUCCAGUCGAGCCCAGCUCAGUCUCCAGUCCAGCCGCGCGCUGCUCAGUCUCCAGUCCAGCCGCGCGCUGCUCAGUCUCCAGUCCAGCCGCGCGCUGCUCAGUCUCCAGUCCAGUCGAGCCCUGCCCCGGUUCUAGCACAGUCGAGCCCUGCCCCGGUUCUAGCACAGUCGAGCCCUGCCCCAGUUCAGUCCAGUCACGUUCCUGUCCCAGUUCAGUCCAGUCACGUUCCUGUCCCAGUUCAGUCCAGUCACGUUCCUGUCCCAGUUCAGUCCAGUCACGCGCAGGUCUUGUCCCAGCCAGAGGGCACCACCUGUCGGACAGGUGCUAUGCACGCCCGAUCAGGCCCGACGUCUGCUCCGUCGAGCUUGGCAGCGGCAAGUAGCCAUGCCAGCUCCAGAGGAGACGCCGUUUCAGUCCUUGCCGGCUCCACUGAGGAGCCUGAGAGCAGCGCCGCCGGCUCUAGUGAGGAGCCUGAGGGCAGCGCCGCCGGCUCUAGUGAGGAGCCUGAGGGCAGCGCCGCCGGCUCUAGUGUAGAGCCUGAGGGCAGCGCCGCCGGCUCUAGUGUAGAGCCUGAGGGCAGCGCCGCCGGCUCUAGUGUAGAGCCUGAGGGCAGCGCCGCCGGCUCUAGAGUAGAUGCCGUUCCUGUCCCUGUCGGCCAAGUAGAUGCCGUUCCUGUCCCUGUCGGCCAAGUAGAUGCCGUUCCUGUCCCUGUCGGCCAAGUAGACGCCGUUCUUGUUCCUGUUGGCCAAGUAGAGGUCGUCCCAGUCCCUGUCGGCCAGGUAGAGGUCGUCCCAGUCCCUGUCGGCCAAGUAGAGGUCGUUCCUGUCGGCCAAGUAGAGGUCGUUCCUGUCGGCCAAGUAGAGGUCGUUCCUGUCAGCCAAGUAGAGGUCGUUCCUGUCGGCCAAGUAGAGGCCGUUCCUGUCGGCCAUGUUGAGGCCGUUCCUGUCGGCCAUGUUGAGGCCGUUCCUGUCGGCCAUGUUGAGGCCGUUCCUGUCGGCCAUGUUGAGGCCGUUCCUGUCCCUGUCGGCCAUGUUGAGGCCGUUCCUGUCCCUGUCGGCCAUGUUGAGGCCGUGCCAGUCCCUGUUCCUGUCGACCCCGUAGCGGUCGUUCCUGUUCCUGUCGACCCCGUAGCGGUCGUUCCUGUUUCUGUCGGCCACAUAGAGGUCGUCCUAGCCCCCGUUCCUGUCAGCCUCGGAGUAGCGGUUCCCACCGACCUCCAGGAGGGGGUCGCGCCAGCCGCAGUCCCGGCGGACCUCCAGGAGGGGGUCGCGCCAGCCGCAGUCCCGGCGGACCUCCAGGAGGGGGUCGCGCCAGCCGCAGUCCCGGCGGACCUCCAGGAGGGGGUCGCCAGGAACCGAUGCAGGUGCGGCCCGGCUCCGGGUCGCCAGGAACCUGCAUCGGUUCCUGGCGGCCCGGCUCCGGCCGCACCUGCAUCGGU
rnacentral:lncRNA from 1 species